rnacentral:rRNA from 1 species
UGAGGAAUAUUGGUCAAUGGGCGAGAGCCUGAACCAGCCAAGUCGCGUGAAGGAAGAAGGUUCUAUGGAUUGUAAACUUCUUUUGUAAGGGAAUAGAAAGUAGUACGUGUACUAUAUUGUAUGUACUUUACGAAUAAGGAUCGGCUAACUCCGUGCCAGCAGCCGCGGUAAUACGGAGGAUCCAAGCGUUAUCCGGAUUUAUUGGGUUUAAAGGGUGCGUAGGCGGGUUUUUAAGUCAGUGGUGAAAGUUUGCAGCUCAACUGUAAAAUUGCCAUUGAAACUGAGGGUCUUGAGUGUAAAUAAGGUAGGCGGAAUGUGUUGUGUAGCGGUGAAAUGCUUAGAUAUAACACAGAACACCAAUUGCGAAGGCAGCUUACUGGGAUACAACUGACGCUGAGGCACGAAAGCGUGGGGAGCGAACA